rnacentral:rRNA from 1 species
AGAAUCAACGCUGGCGGCGUGCCUCAGACAUGCAAGUCGAACGCGGAAGUUUCCUUCGGGAAAUGAGUAGAGUGGCGCACGGGUGAGUAACACGUAGGUAAUCUACCUUUGGAUGGGGAAUAACAACCGGAAACGGUUGCUAAUACCGCAUAAUGCAGCGGCACCUAAUGGUGACAGUUGUUAAAGCGGGGGAUCGAAAGACCUCGCGUCUGAAGAGGAGCCUGCGGCGGAUUAGCUAGUUGGUAAGGUAAUGGCUUACCAAGGCUACGA